AACCUUUUGUAGUUCAUGAGUAUGAUGAUUGGGUGUUCACAUGCUUGUGUGAAAUGUGCCACCCUUGAACCUUGUUAUGUCGGCACACUACCCAUCUGACC